AACCCAACAUGGUCUCUCUGCUCUUUAGAAGGCAAUUGGAAAAGAAGAAAGACAUUUAGGGGUCACAGAGAUGGCUCUGUGACAGUGGCCGAGGCUCCUGUUCUGGUGUCUUUUCACCCCAUCCUCAAAUCUGCUCAGGAAAGCUGAGCUAAUUACAAGUGGCCUGCUAGCAUUUAGUCAAUAAAUGGUUUGGCUCAGCAGACAGUUAAUGCAAUGCCAGAUCAAUAGGAACUCUGAAAAUUAUUUCUCCACUUCCUUGUAGGGCCAGGAGACGCCCAUGAAGGACAGAACGUCAGCCUUCAGUCAAGGAGUCCUGGAAUGUUCCGUUGUUCUAACAAGAAACAUUGAGAGGAAGCAAAUGUAAACAGUUCCAGGCUCCUUAUUGAUGUGAUGUCAGAUUUUCAUUUUCAAAUGGAAUAGGCUCUAGAAGGUUUUGCAAAAGCCCCAGUCUUCCUAAUCAAAGCACUUUUUUUUUUUUUUCCUGGAGGGAGCCUUAGAAAUGAGAACUAGGCUGUCAUCAAGAGCUAUUAGCUGAAACUGCGGCUUUUAGAAGAUGAUAGGUCAUUAUCUUUCAUAAUCUUAACAUAAUAAAGGAAAAAUUAAAAGAAGAUUGAAAGGUAAGAAGAAACAUUUUGGAGGAAAGACAUUAAGAUUUUGCUCUGCGUGACCUCCUAAUAAUUUAUAUGGAAGGCUAUUUGGUUUCAAGUUUAUGGCUAUAUUAGAGCGAACUGAAACUCCUCUCAUUAGUUUUAUGAUCUAAAAGAAACCUUACAGCCUGAUGUCCACCAUGACCUGGCUGCGUGGAACACAAUGGCACAGAUAGCAAAUGGGGAAUAAUAGGCUUCCUAAAACGAAUACUCCUUCCAGCCGGUUCGGAAAUCCAGGUGCGGGGAUACCGGCUGUUUCAAUUUGUGAGAAGUGAGAGAAGUGUCAAAUUCCAGAGCAUCGGAUUUCUUUCAUCCUCUGAUUAACCUCACACUGGUAACUGAGGCCGAUGUCUGUCGCCUUGCCAUCUGAGAGCGCCUCUUCUGAAUGUCAGAGGUGGAAAGACGUCUGUACCUCGGGAGCCGUUCAUGCUCUACUUCCUCCUUGGAACCUCCUGCCUCCUGGCAGCCCAGUCGCAUUUCCCCAGGGGGAAGCAAUCUGGAGCCAGAGAGUGGGUUUUUUCCUUUUUCCUUCUAUGUUUUUUAAAAGGAAAAUAAAAGACUACAGAAUCUCUCUCUGAAGAUAAAAGUAAAUUCAAUUACGCUGUCAUCAAUCCAGGAAAAAUUUAAGGACAGAUCUAUCAUUUCAUCCAAAUUUUCCAGGCGUGCUUUUUUUGUCCACCCCGCCCCCGCCCAUAGCUUUUUGUUCCCACAUUCUCUGUGUACAACCGUGAUGGAAUAUUGGCUCAUGGGGAAGUCAUUUCUCAGCAUUUCCCAUGUUUGUUUUUUCCAAAAUAUUCAAGAUAGUGGAACCGUAUAUUCCAGCAUAGGAAUGGUCUUUUGUGUCUGAUAAAUUUUCAGACAUAUGGAGUCACGUGACCAUACCCUCGUCAGCACAUCAAAGGUCUCUGUCAUGGAAGCCAGCUGUCCCGUGAGAGGACUGACCCCCAGCUUCACCGUUGCCUGUCACCUCUCAUGGCUUCCCAGCCUGUGUCCUCUGACCUCCGGCACUUGGGACAGGUCUCGAUGAUAGCCAAGUUUGUGUUCCUAUACACAGGGCUUUUUCUGUGCCUCAAUCACACUCUCUCAUACUUCCCCUGGCUUGUUCAUUCUUUUAAAAAUUUUUUAUAAAACUUUUAAUUUUUCAUUUACAGUUAUUACAAAAUAGUGGCUAUAUCUCCUGUGUUAUGCAAUACAUCCUUGAACCUGUCUUACACCCAAUAGUUCAUACCUCCUGCUUCCCCACCCCUAUAUUGCCCCUCCACCCCCUCCCCACUGAUAACUUGUUUGCUCUCUACACUUGCAGGUCUGCUUCUUUUAUAUUAUAUUCAGUAAUCUGUCCCAUUUCUUUAGAUUCCACAUAUCAUACAGUAUUUGUCUUUCUCUGAUCUAUUCUACUUCACAUAAUGCCCACCACGUCUAUACAUGCUGCUGCAAAUAGCAAGAUUUCAUUUUUAGGGCUGAAUAGUAUUCCAUUGUAUAUAUGUACCACAUCUUCUUUAUGGACAGUCAUCUCUUGAUGGACACUUAGGUUGCUCCCAUAUCUUAUCUAUUGUAUAUAGUGAUGCUAUGAACAUUGGGGUACAUGUAUCUUUUCAAAUUAGUGUUUUUGUGGGGGGGUUUUGGAUAUAUAUCCAGGAGUAGAAUUCUGAGUCACAUGGCAGGUCUUCAGUUUUUUGAGAAACCUCUCUACCGUUUUCCUCAGUGGCUGCACCAAUGUACAUUUCCACCAAGAGUGUACAAGUGUUUCCUUUUCUCCACGUCCUCGCCAGCAUUUGUAACUUGUGGUCUUUUUGAUGAUGGCCAUUUUGACAGAUGUGAGGUGAUAUCGCAUUGUGGUUUUGAUUUGCAUCUCCUGAUGAUCAGUGAUGCUGAGCCUCUUUUUGCAUGCCUGUUGCCCACCUGUGUGUCCUCUCAACAUCUCUCCAUUACAGCAAAGACUGUUCCUGUGCACAGGCCUUUUUUCAUGCCCCAAUCACUCUCUCUCACACAUCCUCCAGCUAGUUCUUGCUUAAGUCCAGUUCUCAGCUUUCAUAUCAUAUCCUUUUAAAGCCUGUCUGGCCCUCUUUCUGUGAAACUGAAGUCACGAUUCCUGUUAUCUUAGGAAAUUCUUCCUUGGUUUUUCCUUUACAACUCUCACUCUUUUUGUGCCUUUUUACUUAAUUUAGUUUGUCUCUUUCCCAACCUAGCAUGCAAGGACCAUGUAGUCUCAGACCAAACCUCUUUGUCCACUGCCUUAUCCAGGGCCUGGCCUGGUGCCCACGACAUGGCAGAUCCUUGGCAAAUAUUUGCAGACAGUUAAUUUUCCUCUAUCACCUAUGUGAAGGCUGUACUUCCCGGACGAACCAACACCCUCAGAACACUAUACCAGGAAGAGUGAGAGGCUGGCCAACAAUCUUUUGAUGUGCUUAAGCUGCUUUCUUCAAAAUAACUUUUUGGAUGAGUACAUUUUAAUAAUAAUUUUUCUAAGUGAUUGGAUAUGGACUUUCGCCAAAGGUACCAAAACCUCUUUUACAUCUUCUCUUUCAGGUAGGGCUAGUUCUGCUAUGAAUACUUUAUUCAUUCCCCUGUUGAUUAGAAUGGGGUUUUAAAUUCAUGAAAUAAUUUCUGAUCAAGUAAGUAAAAGUAAUGCAUUUAUACCACUUAUGUCCCACCUGUUAACCGGCCUGGCCAGACAAGACUAAGACUUGUGUCUUCUGCACCAAAUUUCCACCUUUCCUUCCUCGGUGGCUCCCUUCUUCUUUCCACUUCCCCCUGGUGUUCAGAUCAGUUGGGUAUUCUUCCUCUCUUAAUAUACAAAUUAGUCUUUGAAUGCAUCACUCACGCCAAAGAAUACAGAACUUGUUUGAAAAUCGUCGUCCCUUCUAAGGAUGUUUAGACUAUGGGAAUUAAAGAGACAUCAUGCAUUACAUAUGCAACCUCCUCGUUUGUGCCCUGAUUUGCAUUUUCACAUAUAAAUAUGAUAUUGCUCCCUCCUGUGGCAUCUUGCCCUUCCAGAAUCCUCUGCCCAGCAGAGCAGGGUCCUGGGACCUGGCUCCCUGCUGGGCUGCAUGCUGUGAACCCUUUGCCAUGCUCUGCCAAGCUCACGCUUGCCUCUGCACUGGGUCCAGACCUUGCCUUUUUGUGCCUUGCUGCUCCCUGGCCCAGUCCAGUAUGUCAACAGCCUGUGUACUUGUCUGUCUUUCCCCGGGACAGAGGAUAGAUUCUCAUUUGGCCACCUGUACCCCCAGGCCAGCCCAGGUAGGGCUUCACACAGGAUCAGUUCAAAAUCAACCCAGUGAAUGAAGGAAAAUAAGGAGAUGGAGGGCUAAGGAUAGAAUUUUGGGACCAAUCAGAAAAAAACAUGUAAUUAUUUUGAGGCUGAGGUGUUGAUUCCCCCACCCCAAACUGUACCUCCCGGGCAGCUGUGUAACUGCUCUGCUUUUGGUAACUUCACCUUGGUCUGGACAGUUUUUUUUUAGGAAUAUAUGUCACACGUGCUUGGAGGACAUUGACUAGGGUUAGUCCACUAAUCAAUCAUUAAGUAUAAUUUUUAUUAUCUGCUGUACACUCCACUAAAUAAGUAGUACUUAUAGACUCAGGAUAACUGUCUCUCUCCCCUGCCCCACCCACCCACCCACCCCAGAGACGGCCUCUGAAAGAAUCACUUCAUCUCCACUGUGCUUUCUGAAUGAAUCAGCCCAGUCAAGCCUGUCUCAGGGACUGGGAGCAAAGCUGGUUAUGGUCCCCCUCUGCUGUCUUGAAUGUAUUCCCUGCUUCUAUUGCUGUGCUUCCAGAUCUUCUCCUAUUGGACCUGAGUGAGCAAGUAGAUGAGCUGGAAGAAUGAGCAGAAGAUGAAUGUUUGCAAUUUUGUUGCACUCAUAGUCCAGUGAUGAGGAAAGAGCAUGGAGGUCCAGGAAGGCCUCUGAGUCAGGGGACCUGGUGACCACUGCAGCCCUGUGGCCUUCUGUGACCUUGGGCACAGCAGCUAAGCUGAUCAUAACAGGAGGAUUAGGCCUGACUGACUCACAGGGUUCUUAGGGGUCAUGGAGGAGAUAGCACAGUGCCCAUGAUUAGAUCUGGUUCAUGGUAUGUGCUCUGUCAUCAUUCAGUUCAACCCCCUAAAGGGGAUCCUUUGGUGGCAGAAGCCAUGAAUUCCCAAUUUAGCACAAAAUUUUCCAGAUUCCAGCAGACAUUUGGCACUGGACUUAUUUUCUCUAAGUUUCUUUUUUUCUUUCCCUUAACGGAGAUAAAAAUAGCUUUAUACAAAUUAAGCCUCCAUUCACAAAACCUCAAAAACCUCCUGGAAAACCUAUACCAUGACCGCCCCCACCUGAUGGGAGUGUGGGGUUUCUCCAGAAUACCUUUCUAGAAGCUAGCUAAAUUUCCAUCUGUCAGAUUUCAAACUGUAUUCUCCUCAGGCAAGAAUGUCAAGGGCUCCACCCACACCCACCCUCACACACACACAUAAACACAGUUGGAGCUCUACCUAGGCUGCACUCUUCAGAUUGCUGGCUCUACAUUUGAUUGAUAGUUUGAAUAUGGAAUUAUAGAUAGGAGGUGCCCUUCUCUUAGAAUUUUAAAGGCAUUGAUCCUUUCUUCAAAUAACACUGAGCAUAUUAAUGAUAAUUUUCUGGAAGUUUUCUUCUGAUCAGUACAUUUCUUCCAAGUUUCUUUUUAUUUGCUUAUUUUUAUUUUUAUCUUUCAUGUUAUUAGAUUUCCUCAAAUGUCUGGGGAUUCCUGGCUCUCUGUACUUAUUUUAAAAUGAACCAUUAAAAUGCUGGGUGGCUGGAGUUCCUGUCAUGGCUCAGCAGUUAACGAAUCUGACAAGGAACCAUGAUGUUGCAGGUUCCAUCCCUGGCCUUGCUCAGUGGGUUAAGGAUCCAGCGUUGCCAUGAGCUGUGGUAUAGGUCACAGAUGCGGCUCAGAUCUGGUGUUGCUGUGGCUCUGGUGUAGGCCAGCAGAAACAGCUCUGAUUAAACCCCUAGCUGGGAACCUCUAUCUACCACAGGUGCGGCC
rnacentral:lncRNA from 1 species